UUGUAAAGCACUUUCAGUAGGGAGGAAGGUAGUGUAGUUAACACCUGCAUUAUUUGACGUUACCUACAGAAGAAGCACCGGCUAACUCCGUGCCAGCAGCCGCGGUAAUACGGAGGGGUGCGAGCGUUAAUCGGAAUUACUGGGCGUAAAGCGCAUGCAGGCGGCCUGUUAAGUCAGAUGUGAAAGACCCGGGGCGUUAACCUCGGAAUUGCAUUUGAAACUGGCAGGCUAGAGUCUUGUAGAGGGGGGUAGGAAUUUCAGGUGUAGCGGUGAAAUGCGUAGAGAUCUGAAGGAAUACCAGUGGCGAAGGCGGCCCCCUCGGACAAAGACUGACGCUCAGAUGCGAAAGCGUGGGGAGCAAACAGGAUUAGAUACCCUGGUAG
rnacentral:rRNA from 1 species